AUUAACACGAGCCAAGUGCAACAAUGCGUGAAGAAAAAAAAAAGUUUUGUUCAGUCGGCUCGCGUUAAUA
rfam:Crassostrea gigas strain 05x7-T-G4-1.051#20 contig21064, whole genome shotgun sequence.